GGGCUUGUGGUUUAGUGGUAUAAUACUCCCUUAGCACCGUACGACGAGUCCCUAGGAUAUCUCGUUCAACGCCUGGGAGUGGUCCGGGGUUCGAUUCCCCGCGAGUCCA